UACGAAGGGGGCUAGCGUUGUUCGGAAUCACUGGGCGUAAAGCGCACGUAGGCGGCUUUCUAAGUAAGGGGUGAAAUCCUGGAGCUCAACUCCAGAACUGCCUUUGAUACUGGAGAGCUUGAGUCCGGAAGAGGUGAGUGGAACUCCGAGUGUAGAGGUGAAAUUCGUAGAUAUUCGGAAGAACACCAGUGGCGAAGGCGGCUCGCUGGUCCGGUACUGACGCUGAGGUGCGAAAGCGUGGGGAGCAAACAGG
rnacentral:rRNA from 1 species